AUUGAUCGCUGGCGGCAUGCCUUACACAUGCAAGUCGAACGGCAGCGCGGACUUCGGUCUGGCGGCGAGUGGCGAACGGGUGAGUAAUACAUCGGAACGUACCCUGUUGUGGGGGAUAACUAGUCGAAAGAUUAACUAAUACCGCAUACGACCUGAGGGUGAAAGUGGGGGACCGCAAGGCCUCACGCAGCAGGAGCGGCCGAUGUCUGAUUAGCUAGUUGGUGGGGUAAAGGCCCAACAAGGCGACGAUCAGUAGCUGGUCUGAGAGGACGAUCAGCCACACUGGGACUGAGACACGGCCCAGACUCCUACGGGAGGCAGCAGUGGGGAAUUUUGGACAAUGGGGGCAACCCUGACCCAGCAAUGCCGCGUGUGAAGAAGGCCUUCGGGUUGUAAAGCACUUUUGUCCGGAAAGAAAUCGCGCUGGUUAAUACCUGGCGUGGAUGACGGUACCGGAAGAAUAAGCACCGGCUAACUACGUGCCAGCAGCCGCCGUAAAAC
rnacentral:rRNA from 1 species